GAUGAACGCUGGCGGCGUGCCUAACACAUGCAAGUCGAACGGAGUCCAGCCUUAGAGACCUUCGGGUCAAAGAGGGGAAGACUGAGUGGCGGACGGGUGAGUAACACGUGGGCAACCUGGCUCAUAGAGGGGGAUAACAGAGAGAAAUUUCUGCUAAUACCGCAUAAGCACACACUGCCGCAUGGCAGAGUGUGAAAAGAGAAUCGCUAUGAGAUGGACCCGCGUCUGAUUAGCCAGUUGGCAGGGUAAGAGCCUACCAAAGCGACGAUCAGUCGCCGAAUGGGGAGGAUGAACGGCCACAUUGGGACUGAGACACGGCCCAAACUCCUACGGGAGGCAGCAGUGGGGGAUAUUGCACAAUGGGGGGAACCCUGAUGCAGCGACGCCGCGUGAGUGAAGAAGUAUUUCGGUAUGUAAAGCUCUAUCAGCAGGGAAGAUAAUGACAGUACCUGAAUAAGAAGCCCCGGCUAACUACGUG
rnacentral:rRNA from 1 species